GCACAUGCGCUGAGUUUGUUUAUUGCUUCGGUCGGCAGUUUCACUGGUCUCCAGCAGUGGGGUCCUGGCCAUGUCCAGCCCCCGUGAGUUUUCCCCAAAGGAAAGUGGGAGGCGAUAUCGGAGAAGCAGAGCGUUGUGAGCGCCCAAAGCCUUCACCCUUUUCGAAAGUAGGUGCCCGCCUGACGGGUGUGCAGCUUUGCCCUGAAACAGUGGGCCACCUGGCGGCACUGGGCGUCCAGGACUCAGCCUUGCAGGCGGACGUGGGGUGUUUCCUCCCCAGCCCUGCCUGGUGCUGGAGGGGAGUUCUGGUCUCUUCCGAGGCCAAGGUGCUUCCGCAGGGUGGCUGGAGCACGCGUGCUUGCUGCAGGCCCAGUGCCAGCCGGGCAGUGGCCUGGAGACCACGGGGCAGAGCCGGAGCGCCAUGCUCCUCUCUGCGUGGCUGUGCUGCGUGUGGACGAGUCCUCAGAAAGAGAAAAACUGCUCUCCUGAGGUGGGGGUUUUGUUUCAGGUUUCUUUUCUGCUGCCUGAGAGUGCUUUAAGUCUGCCAGAAACUCCCUGGAGAGACACGGAGCUCUUAAUGCAGAAUAUUAACUCCUCUGUCUAUUAUACGCAUGAAGCCAGGCCUACCUCUCUCCCAGGGGGAUCGGAAAUUGCCUUUGUGCACUGUUUGGAGAGGCCUUCGCAUCCAGAAACAAAGAAAAGUGAAAACAAAACAAAACAAAAACAAGACCAAAAAACAAUGCCCCAAAGAAAUAAGAGCAUAAAGUCCAAAGACCGUUAAAGCACUGAGUUUCAAGCCACUGGUUUUCAAAAAGAGUUCAGGCACAGGCUUUGGACUCAUACUGUUUUGUGCUGGCUCUCACCCAACCCCUUGCUAGAUGUGUGUCCUUGGGCAAGUAUUUAACCUCCAGUGCCUCCAUUUCCCCAUUUGUAAAAUGGGCACAAUAAUUGACUUCAAAAGGCUUCCUUGGCAUGUGUGAGAAUUUCAUAAAAUAAAAAAAAUUUUUCAAUCUGGCACAGUGCUUGGCACUUGGUUAGAAUUCAAUAAUUAGUUGGCUGUUACUUUUAACAUAACAAUAGCAAA
ensembl:lncRNA